rnacentral:tRNA from 1 species
CCCUGGUUAGCUCAGUUGGUAGAGCGCUCCACUUGUAAUGGAGAGGUCCCGGGUUCGAUACCCGGUCUCAGGC